AGCGAACGCUGGCGGCAGGCUUAACACAUGCAAGUCGAGCGGGCAUCCUUGUGGUGUCCGCGGCAGACGGGUGAGUAACGCGUGGGAACGUGCCCUUCGGUUCGGAAUAACUCAGGGGAACUUGAGCUAAUACCGGAUACGUGCGAGAGCAGAAAGGUUUAUCUGCCGAAGGAUCGGCCCGCGUCUGAUUAGCUAGUUGGUGAGGUUAUGGCUCACCAAGGCGACGAUCAGUAGCUGGUCUGAGAGGAUGAUCAGCCACACUGGGACUGAGACACGGCCCAGACUCCUACGGGAGGCAGCAGUGGGGAAUAUUGGACAAUGGGGGCAACCCUGAUCCAGCCAUGCCGCGUGAGUGAUGACGGCCUUAGGGUUGUAAAGCUCUUUUCUCCGGGACGAUAAUGACGGUACCGGAGGAAUAAGCCCCGGCUAACUUCGUG
rnacentral:rRNA from 1 species